rnacentral:rRNA from 1 species
AUUGAACGCUGGCGGCAGGCCUAACACAUGCAAGUCGAACGAGUGGCGGACGGGUGAGUAAUGUCUGGGAAACUGCCCGAUGGAGGGGGAUAACUACGGGAAACGGUAGCUAAUACCGCAUACACUCGGAGGUGCCAAGAUGGGAUUAGCUGGGAGGUGGGGUAAAGUCUCACCUAGGCGACGAUCCCUAGCUGUUCUGUGAGGAGUACCAGCCACACUGGAACGUGGACACGGUCCAAACUCCUACGUGAGGCGGCAGUGGGGAAUAUGGCAACGUGGGCGCAGGCCUGAUGCAGCCAUGCCGCGGGUGUGAAGCGGGCCUUCGGGUUGUAAAGCACUUUCAGCGGGGAGGCGUUACCCGCAGAAGAAGCACCGGCUAACUCCGUGCCAGCAGCCGCGGUAAUAC